UUGAAAAAACGCGCCGUGACAGAUUACCACGAAACAAAAAGAAGUUAUAUGAUUGGUUCUGUGAUUGUUUGGAGUUGUAGUCACUUGUUAUAGAUUUAAUAGCAGUGAUUUAUGAGAUGUUGAGCCGGAACAAUCAAAACUGGCUUUGAUACCCCACGAUUUGCGAUAAUGGCCUUGGAAAUAUCACUUCAUGGAGUUAUUUCCUGUUUGGCGGAACACGGAACACAUCAGAUGAGUUAUGACGCCAUUUGGAACCCCAAAGGAACAGUAUCUGAUAUACUCGACUAAGCCGUUUGCAGCAGGUGCCGUCGGAUCAACAUGGAAGGAUGCAUCAAGCGAUAUACCUAUCGCUAUCACCGCCAGAUUGAGAGGUCUACCAAAACAGCUAGAAAAUUCUUCUCCCGAAAAAAACAUAGUCGCAACAUACUGUUUAUGUGAAAGAAGAUUUCAAUUCAUUAAAUUUAUUUAUUAAAAUGU